CCGCCUCGCGGAGCAGGUGCACAAUCGGGUGUGGCGCGCGGAUGGAGAAGUCGGCGGCGUCGGGCGGGCCCUCGGCGUAGGCGCUGUGCACCGCGCGCGGGUGGAAAAGCACAAGCUGCAAGUCGGCGGCGAAACCGCGCUCCAAGAUGGCCUCGG
rnacentral:SRP_RNA from 17 species